AGCAAAACUACCUAGCAAGUGCACAAGCAACUUUUCAUCAAACAACAUUAAGUCCCAAUUUUCUUUGUGGCGGAUGUGAGCUCCACAUAUGGAAUGAGACAAAAGCCAAAAGGACCAUCCAACUCCAGUUUAAGGACUGUGUCUUUAAAGGCUGUGUGUUUGUUUUGAUCUCACUCCUCCUCCCUCUCCAGUGCAGGAACGUGCAGUUUGUAAGCAGAAAGGGUCCGAGUGGCUGCCUUCUGAGGGCACUGUGGGCAGUAAUGCAACUUUGUACACUGGUACUGACCACCAGCUCUAACGAAACAGAUCGGAGUGGAAAAACUGCAUGGUUGCUGUGGAUACCCAUCAUUUUUCCAACACCCAAGGUUUGGAGUAGUGGGAGGUUCCACACAACUAUUUGGGUUUUUGUGAAAUGAUAGUUUUAUGAAACUAUUGAGUUAAAGUUCUUGGAGAUUAGAGGAAACCCCUGUUCCUGAGGGCGCUGCUGCUGCUGCUUCUUGUGCAACAGGAUCUCCAUGCUGCUUGGAGACCUCUGUGUCCUUGUUACCUGGAGAAGCCACCAAAAAAAAAGGGCUUUGGAAGUUUUCUUUUCCGAGCGGAUGCAUAAUGGAUCUAUUAAAAUUGGGAAAUGCAAGUUACGUCGGGUAUAAAACAUCCUAUCUUCAGAGACUUACUAAAGGAGAUGACAAAGGAUUAUUAUGUUUCUUGUUUUUAUUUUAUUUUUGUGCCUCUUGUCACGUAUGGAUUAAACUUUGCAAACAACGCUUGGAUUUACAAUUUUUUUUCACUUUAAUGGAUAUUCUAAAAAAAAAGAUAUCUACAAAAGUUAACUGGAAUUUGAAGAAGAUCAUCAGAAGCAGCCUCCGGAGCAAUAUAAAGGUACCAGUUAACAAUUUAAAUCGUUUCUCGUAUUUUUCUUGUUUCUUUCUUUCCUUUAUUUGAAGUCGUGCAAAAAAAAAAAAAAAA